UUGCUGGCUGCUCUCCCGCUGGCGGCUGAAAGCUUGUCAGUAGUGCCUCCCAUCGCGCUCCCUCCCAGGCUUCUCCCGCCCCCCCCCCCGCCACAGGAGAGACGUCAGAACCCUCCCGGAGCUCCACUCCGCCGGCAUUAAUGCAUUGACGGCCCCAGCCUGCGCUCCAUCAUAUUCAUGCGCUGCUGCUUCUCUCUCUCUAUCUCUACCCCCCCGGCCCUGUGGUGUCGCCUGUGCGGAGGCCGGACCUGACGUCUCUCUCUCUCUCACUUGGUUCAUCUCGGGUGCUGCUGCGGUCCCCCGGGGCUGCCGUGAUACGUCUUGCGAGGUGUCGCUGGUGAGCUGUCGGUCGGCUUUGCCGUGGGGAAGGAUCUUCGUGGAGCUGUUUGGAUGUCCUAUGGCGGACUUCACCCCCCCGGAGUGAGCGUUGGAGCAGGACGCAUCCCAGUGGCUUCAAAUGAGGAGAGCUCCAUUAUCUCGCAGUGGUGGCGGGGGUGCGGAUUGUUCGAGAGUGUGGAGUUGUACGCUGUUUCCAUCUGAAAUGUAGUAUGAGCGGCGGCCGAGGGUAGCCUUCCGGACGUAUUCACCCUUCACGCGGAGGAGGAGGGGGAGGAGC
rnacentral:lncRNA from 1 species